AGAGUUUGAUCCUGGCUCAGGAUGAACGCUGGCGGUCUGCUUAACACAUGCAAGUCGAACGCAGUACUUCGGUACUGAGUGGCGGACGGGUGAGUAACGCGUGAGAAUCUGCCUAGAGGUCGGGGACAACCAUUGGAAACGAUGGCUAAUACCGGAUAUGCCUUACGGGGUGAAAGAUUAAUCGCCUUUAGAAGAGCUCGCGUCUGAUUAGCUAGUUGGUAGGGUAAAAGCCUACCAAGGCAUCGAUCAGUAGCUGGUCUGAGAGGAUGACCAGCCACACUGGGACUGAGACACGGCCCAGACUCCUACGGGAGGCAGCAGUGGGGAAUUUUCCGCAAUGGGCGAAAGCCUGACGGAGCAAGACCGCGUGAGGGAGGAAGGCUCUUGGGUUGUAAACCUCUUUUGUCAGGGAAGAACACAAUGACGGUACCUGACGAAUCAGCAUCGGCUAACUCCGUGCCAGCAGCCGCGGUAAUACGGAGGAUGCAAGCGUUAUCCGGAAUUAUUGGGCGUAAAGCGUCCGCAGGUGGCUUAUCAAGUCUGCGGUCAAAGACCGGGGCUUAACCCUGGAAAGGCCGUGGAAACUGAUAAAGCUAGAGUACCGUAGGGGUAGAGGGAAUUCCCGGUGUAGCGGUGAAAUGCGUAGAGAUCGGGAAGAACAUCGGUGGCGAAAGCGCUCUACUGGACGGUGACUGACACUCAGGGACGAAAGCUAGGGGAGCGAAUGGGAUUAGAUACCCUAGUAGUCC
rnacentral:rRNA from 1 species